CAAAAUCGUUAAUAAUACAUAGUAGUUGGUUUACUGUCGAAUCACCAGGGAUGAAACCAGACUGGAAUUUUGUUAAUAAAGAAUUUGUAAUAAUAAAGUUAAAAAGGUAUUUAAAAAUGCAUCUCUCCAUUGUCUUACCAAUGUUAGACAGCAAAGAUAUAGGUCUAUAAUUAAGUAAAAAUUCUGGGCCACCUUUGUUUUUAUAAACAGGUAUAACAUUUGCUAGUUUCCACACAUCUGGAAACCUCCCUGUUAAGAGG
rnacentral:lncRNA from 1 species